rnacentral:misc_RNA from 1 species
GUCAAUCUUAUUGAUUCCAUCCAAAGAUUCUAUUCGUGGUACUCUUCCAAUAAAGUUUUUGAUUCUUCAACACUUCAAAGUUCGAGAACGGGUUUCUUCCAAGCGGGGAGAAUGGUAUGGAAGAAUUCUAACACAAGCUCGAAUUUUUUCCAAGAGGGGAAAUAUGAUGCUGAGCAAAUGCAAAAAAUAGCGUGUGCAAUAGGGUGUACAGAAAAGUACACGCCCUCAGAACAUGCCCCCAGGGCAUGUGUUCCUCUCUCCAGAUGCAGUGGCGGGCAGCAGUGAUUUUUGGGUCCAGAAAAACGUCUCCUGCAGUCCUAAUUCAUUUUGGACUUCCUAUUUUAGCAAGGGCCAGCUGCGGCAGUUAUUUUAAAAUUAAUUUAGGAAGCUUUCCAACUUUAUUUUGGAUUUUAUUUUAGUUUUCCAAUUCUAUUUAGGAUUAGAUAUUUGAAUUUCCUGUUUUAAUUGAGUUUAGCUUUUCCUAUUUAAUUUAGUAUUGCUAUUUUGUUUGGUGUAUAAACUUCCUAGUCAGGAUUUAUAUUUUCCUAGUUAGU